AAAGAGCAGGAAAGCCAAGUAAGAAAAUACUUAAAUACAUAAAAGUAAAAUAAAAUAAAACAAAUACUCUGUUCACUAGAAAAGCCUGCAUAGGGAUAGACUCCUGUUAGAUUCCCCUGAGGAAGUUCUCAUUUGAACGAAACGCGUAGGGCUUUUCUAGUGUACAGAGUAUUUGUUUUAUUUUAUUUGACUUUUAUGUAUUUAAGUAUUUUUUACUUGGCUUUCCUGCUCUUUCU
rnacentral:miRNA from 1 species